UACGGAGGGAGCUAGCGUUGUUCGGAAAUACUGGGCGUAAAGCGCACGUAGGCGGCGCAGCAAGUCAGGGGUGAAAUCCCGGGGCUCAACCCCGGAACUGCCCUUGAAACUGCAGUGCUAGAAUUCUGGAGAGGCGAGUGGAAUUCCGAGUGUAGAGGUGAAAUUCGUAGAUAUUCGGAAGAAACACCAGUGGCGAAGGCGACUCGCUGGACAGACAUUGACGCUGAGGUGCGAAAGCGUGGGGAGGCAAACAGG
rnacentral:rRNA from 1 species